AUUUUGAAAUUACUUUUUGAUUAUAAUUGAAAUCUACUAGUCUGCAGCGUUGAACCAUUUUGGUGUUUGGACUUCUUUUCUGGAUCUUAUAUAUUUUUGGCAAGUGCCCUAAAUUUUUUAGCAAAACCGAGAAGAGAGGGAAAAGAAAGAGGGUUAAAAAAUUAGCUAACCUAUCCACUAGAGCCCAAAAUUGUAGAAUUUGGUUGCUAAUUGUGUAGCACCUGACACUAGCAUAUACUAAGCUAUCCACUGUUAAAUGAUUUCAGAUCCAUCAUCUGUAUUUAAUCAUGAGAUUAUCUUCCAUAAAUUGACGUAAAAUAUAUGAUAUUUAUCUGUUACUCAUAGUAGUUGAAUAAAUUUCCAAUAAGCUACGAAAUCAAUGUGGUAGGGCAAUGUGAAAUUUAAGUUUGUUGUUAAAGGAAAAUGAUUGUUAUGGACAUAACACUUGCAUUUAAGUGGUGUCUUAAUCAUUCAAUAAUGGAUUAUUGAUUCUUAGGCAUAUUCCCACCAAUGGAGGACUAAAUUUGUGGAUCAAACCAGUAUGAAUCUUUGUUUAGUUAGCUGGACCAAAAAUGUAAAGCAAGCUAAUUUGUGAUAGAUUGAAGGUGGUUGUUGGUGUCUUAAUCAUUUACUUAUGGAUUACUGAUUCUUAGGAGUGUUCCUAUCAAUGGGCUCAUUUUGUGGGCAAAAUUGCCAUAAAUAUUUGGUCUAGCUGGACAAAAAAAUCUGAAGCAAACUAGUUUGUGAUAGAUUGCUGGCUGUUGGGAUCUUUUAUUAGCCUUUUUCAAGGCAAAUCCAGAAUAUACUGUAACUGAAUGUUGAACAUCCCAUACAUGCCAUCCGAUCGCAUGAAAACAAAUUGUGAAUGUCGAAUUUGUUGUAGUGUCUGGAUUAUAAGAAAAUGAACUGAUUCUUUUAUUUAUUUAUUUAUUAGGUAAUUGAAUUAGAUAUACCAAAAAUUAGAGUAUAAAAUAUGAGGCUCAAUGUACUCGCAAAGAGGACAAAAAAGAUGAUUGAGCAAGCCAUCAAAACAGAGCAUUCAAUUUAAGGUUUAGAGAAGCAAUGUGGAGAUGUAACCCGAUUACAUGUGGAGGUAACAGUAAAAAAAAUUUGUUGAGUGAAAACUUGGUUUAUAUAAGGUGUGAUCAAUGCCUUGUUUGUAAAAAAAAAUAACAUUUCAAACUAUAUAUACAUGUGGAAGAUUAGGUGUUUUCGUUAUUGAACUCUGAUUCAUAAUAAUAAUGUAUUGAGAAUCAAUGGCAGGUAGCUAUUACUUUUUAUUCUAGUAGAUGUUUUAGGUAUUUUCAAUUGGAGAAAGACGAGUUAAGGACUUGGAAGACUUGGCUUCAUAUCGUCCUCAGUAUCACAACCAAGGUCUCUUGCAGACAUGUCGAUGAAUGUUACAGGAUGAUAGAGGAGAUGGUUCAAAUGAUGAGUAUGAGCCCAAUGGUGGCAGUGACGAUGAUGAUGGUGAUGGCUAGUUUUUGAGGACUUUGAUGAAUAGAUUUCUAUAAUCUUUGAAUAGUUCUGGAUUUUAUUUACAAACUUAUAUAUGAUACAAUUUUGGAUGGUUUAUAACUUUUUGGAUAAUUAAGAACUUAAGGAUAGUCCUUUUGGAUGAUUUUGAACUUAUGAUUAGUUUUUGGAUGUUUGGAAUGUAUUGACAAUUUUUGAAUAUUCAUAAUUUACGGAUGUAGUUUAUUUUUUAUGCUUGAAAUAAUAAUUUGGUGGUUGAUUGA